UCCCAGCCUUCCCACUGGCUAGUGAGCUGUUGGAGGAAAAGGUGCUUGAGUUUUUCAUCUUGUGCCUCUUUCCCGCAUAGCACUGUACCUUGCACGUUCUAAGCCUCCUCAAAAGAGUGUGUGGAUCCAAAUGGCAGCUUUUCAGGAACUGUUUUUAAUUUUCUUUGAGAAGAACAGACAAAGUGAAGGCUCAGAAAUGAGAAAGAGUUUUGGAGCUGGGACUUCAACUCCAGUCAUGGU
ensembl:lncRNA